GACUCCUGUGUUUUGCAGAGUUUAAUGAGAAAAUCCUGAUGUUACAAGUCUCUCUGCCUUUCCUUCACCAGGUUUGCUCCCAAAAUCCUGAAGUUGCUUCCCAACCCCAAAGGACCAGUCAGUCACACCCAAAAUGUUUCUAUCAAAAACUCCCAGAGGGACAGAGCAAGAGCGAGUGUGGCAUCGGAGAGCAGGGCUCGCCCGUGUCCUGCUUCAGCCAGAUGCAGCCGUGGUGGCUGAGGGACCUGUACCAGCCCCUGGAGGCCCACCACAUGGAACACAUGAGCCAGCUGUACGACCUGACCUCCGAGGAGGAGGAGGAAGUUUUCAGCAAGUCCAGGCUAAAGUAGGUGGGGUGGCCGCGAUGGCCACGCUCGGUCUGCAGCUCUCGAUCUGCUGUAGGAACUGCUGGGGCUGUCCUCGGCUGUUUCCUUGGCAGUUACUUCCUUGGCUGUUAUUUCCUUGGAUGCUACUUCCUUGGCUGUUUCCUUGACUUUUAUUUCUUUGGUUGUUAUUUCCUUGACUGUUUCCUUGCCGUUAUUUCCUUGGAUGUUACUUCCUUGGCAGUUACUUCCUUGGAUGUUAUUUAGUUGGAUGUUAUUUCCUUGGAUGUUACUUCCUUGGAUGUUACUUCCUUGGAUGUUUCCUUGGCUGUUAUUUCCUUGGCGUUAUUUCCUUGGCUGUUUCCUUGGCUGUUAUUUCCUUGCUGUUAUUUCCUUGGCUGUUUCCUUGCUGUUAUUUCCUUGCUGUUGUUU
rnacentral:lncRNA from 1 species